GAAAUACUUAUGGAAUUUUAGACAGGCGUGCCAGGAAGGACAACAGCUUCUAAUUUUGAGACAGAUUGAACAAUUGGAAAGUAUGAUCAGCUUUAGAAAAUUAAAAUGGAAAAUUAUCAGAACGGAAGAAUGAACCAUUUUCAUCCAUGACUUCACAUGGACUGUUUGAGUAUAGAGCCAGGUGAAACUGAAUUGUGAAUGAAAGUAUCUAGUUACACAUGUGAAAUCCUGACAUGCUUGUUAUGCUGAUAAAUGAGAAAUCCCAGAUGAGACUUUUAAAUCCAAGUAAGUUUGAAGCCACUUGAACUUUUCUAAGAUUCACUCCAGCAGCUUAUUUGCACUGAACACAGAAGUCUGAGGCAAGAAUGAGAAGAGACUAAAACGCACCAUAGGUCUAAGCCAGAAACUUUGAACUCAGGUACAAAUGAAUCACUUCCAAAUAAUCUGGCCCACACAAUGGAGUAUUUCCUGUCUGUGUGAAUUGGGUACUGCUUGGGUGGGCUUAUGAAUGGUGAGAAAAUACAAGGAUUAAAAUAAAUAAAUAAAUCACGGUUUCUCUUGAAUCAGUGAGGCAAUCCAUGGAGGGUAUGUGAAAUGCGAAGGACUGCUGGAAAUGUUUCAGGUUUGACACACAAUGAUCUGAUCAAACUGCAUAUUAAGAACUGCAGUAUGCUUUGGUUUAGCAAACAUCCUCAUUAUCACCCAUUUUCUACCAGAUGCAUCACAGUUAUCAUUUUAUCUUGUCCUGUUAGUAUUCACGUGAUGGAUAGAAAAG
ensembl:lncRNA